GACAUCACGACGUCCCCACAAAUAAUGUCAGCGUGUUACUGAUGAGUCGUCUUUCGAGUUCAUCCGUGACCUUCGCCCCGAACAAAUCUGCCAUGUCCGUAAUUUGUAAAGGAUAAAAAUCUCCGGCAACAUAAAAUGGUCAUGUGAUGAUACGAGUCGCAUUAAAUUCUAUAUCUCUGUGAUUUUUGUGUCGUUUUUCUGCCGCUGUGUUUUCUCGUGUUAUCCCUCCGUCCAUCCCGUUCUUGUGAAUGUUACUUCUCAGGAACGACUUCACAGAAGUUCACUUAGAUUCGGAGAAAGCACUGAGUACACUUUGGUGCUCAAAGAUCACUGCGACCUCACAAACCACGUCAAGAAUUCAUACACUAAUUUUAAAAAAAAACCCUCACAAAAAUGUCUAAUUAGAUAAAACGAUGAAGUGAUGAUCAAAGGUCAACUUCAAGAGUUCAUCAUAAUGAUCUGCAAAAUAUAUUUUUCUGGCCCGUCUAACGUUCAUCUCGGGUGUUUUCCUGGAAACUGUGGUAGUUUUGUGGGUCCUGAACACACUUUAUACUCCAGCGUACUCUUCUGAACAGCAGGGAACAGCUGUGGUGUGAGGUCGGCCAUGUUGACGCUUUAAAAGCGACGAAAGAGCAACAAAAGGUCGUCACGUUCAAGUGCAGCCACAGAGCCUGUUUCACUUGAUGUAAAUGAGCUGUAGCACAGGCACAAAGUAGGGGAACUCAACACUUUGUUAUAAAUGCGGCUAAUUACGUCAGUACGUUUCCAGGCUGAGGUCAGCGGAGAGCAGUAGCUGGGUGUGAACAGGCCUCAGAAGUUUAGCUCUCCCUCUCUGGAGGGGCGACUGUGUGUGAUGGACGGCAGCUGGCAGGCCGACAGAUAAACAAAGCUGCUCUGUCGCUGACGGCUCGCGUGUUCGCGGUGCUGCUGAACGAUGAGGACUGAAGUUUUAUUUGCAGGUAUGUUCACAUGCUGUUUAAACCUCCAGCUCAGCAGCUAACCGGCUAACGGAUGUUAGCGGUGCACGUUUCCCCUGGUUGAUGGCUUCUAUUCCAGGUGUCCUUCUUUUAAAUGAAGAUAAAUUAAUAGCGGUCCAGAAAAACAGAAGAUCUGAGGAGGGACAAACAUCUGGGAAGACGCUCAAGUUGAUUGAUCAUAAAUGUUCUCCCAAUUACAAGUACGGGAAGGUGGUGGUAAACAAAAGACAGGGAGGCAGGGGGGACAGCAGGAACGUGAUGGGGGGAGGAGGAGGAGGACCACACUGCUAUUACGAGCACUUUAUUUUCAAUUAAGCCUUCUUGCAUCCACUUUCUGGCAUUUUUGAUGAUGCAGGGACUUCUCGGACUGGAAAUUGAUUGGUUAGCAAACGUCGGCAACUUUGGUUCAAUUAAUGGCAGACGCACUUCCAACCUGCAGCGAAAAAGGAAACUUCAGGAAAAAUACAUUUUUUUCACCCAAUGUAGCCGCAGAACAAGUAUUUUUGAUUUUGCAUGAUGUAAAGUGGUGGAAUCGUGUUUUUGAACGUUUGAAGUAAUUGCCUGUUAACUUGCUUAUUAUAUUUACAUGUAUAUUAAUAAUUCAAAAAGCACAUACAAUCAAUAAGGCUUUAAGAAGAGUGUUGGAUGUGGGGACGUACGGAGCUCCUACGUGAUCAACAAUGAAUAAGAAUAAAAGGAAAUAACACUGAGUAAAGAUUAUAAAUGAAACAAUUUGUUGUGAGAUGAUUCCAGAAAUUAUUACACUCAACUCGUUACUGUCAUUUUCUGUUAUUAUUUACAAGUUAAAGCAGCUGCAAGGAGUUUUCACGACGUUGAUUCUGGCGACCCCUGUGGACAGAAGCGGUAUGACCACAAAGAUUUUUGACCUGCUACAAGUGUUAAUUUGUUUUGGCAGUCAGUUAAAAAGACACAACAUACGAUUCAUACUUUUUUUCUUUUUUAAACUCCCACUGUUUGUAUCUAAUUUUAGCUGUAAAGGAUCAAAAACUAAUAUGUCAACAGCAAAACAACAAAUGUUUUAGGAACAUUAUCUGCACAGUAAUAGCAGUAACAGCUAGCGACUGUUACCACCAUCUCUUUACUGGGAUGCUAGUUAGCUGGCUAUGUAGCCUAGCAAGGCUGUUAACGAGAUUGUAAAAGGUUCAUUGGCGUACAUGUAAGCUGUCUUUAUCUGCAGAAGAAGCCGAAUGAGGGAGUCGGACUUACUUCGGCCUUGUUGUUGCUCGAGCUAACAGAAGCUAACAGGCUAAAGUUUGGUAGCAAAACUCCAGUGUCAUCAGUCAAUAAAAGGUCUCUGACAGUUUAAAGGCAAACUUCUGACUCUAAGAAUCACUUCAACUUACCUUGAGCAUAAAUGUACAUUAACAAUAAUAAGACAAUGAAUCACAAACAAGCAUUUUGAUCAAACAGCUGAAGUAUUUCAACAUAUUUUCAGUCAUUUUAAUGUCACCUCUUCUCAGGACUGUGUGGAUGUUUAUUUUUCCUUGACUAUACUUUUAGUUUCGUUAAACACGCCAUAACUUUAUACGUAUAGAAGCUUUAAUGAUGUUGCAUCAACAUCAACAUCAACCCGGGCGGAAGUGUUAAUCAGCCAGAAUAGCUGGAAAACACCUGUGUGGGUGUGUCGGGCCUUUAACACAUUAGGAAGUACUGGAAUAUCUGAGAAGCUCCAGUUCACUGUUACACCUCCGAUCGAUUCUGCAGGGAAUCCACUUUACACUUAAAUCAAAUCCAUCCCGGUACUGAAAAGCUUUUUGAAUCCAGAGAGGAAGUCAGCAUAACUAAAGGAGGGCGUGAAGUACGACAGAGCGAGAGAAAAGAUCUUACAGGAUGAGAGGUGUGUGUGGAGGUGGAAAUACCUUCACGUAUCAAAAUGACGCUGCAGACGGAUCUACGGCAGUUAGUCGGGUGACAAUCCUCUCUGGGUUCAUCACAACAGGCAACAUUCAUUUGAUCCUCCAUUAAAAAGAAAAACACUUAUUAGAGCCACAGCUGCUUUGGACACACUCAGAGUCAUACAAGAUGUUUCUGUUAACGGUAACCAAUAAUUAUAAGACAGUAAUAACCUGAGAUGUGAUCAUUUUGGUUCCCUUACUCGACCUUUAAACCCAAACAGGGCGAGGAGAAGCAAACUGCACAGCAGGAGCAGAACGAUGUUCAUGUUACAGUUUCCUUUUAUUGAUAACAGCAAGCUGGUAAGUCUUUUACAUUGACAAAAUGAAUGAAAGUUGUAGGAAACACACUGAGAUGUACUCCGGUACAUUAUUGCCUAUUGGCCAUUUUUUCUUUACAUUUACACAAACUUCUCAAACAUCAGUGAACGCCUCUGUGUGGACGUAGAACUAUUUAUUUAUAUUCCUCCGUUAUAAUAAAGACAACAACUGUUCAAAUUCAAGUUGAGCAGCGUUGACUCGUCUGUCUUGAGGAUGAUUUAAAAACCGUGUUCAUUCCAACAAUCAGGAUGAAAAAUAGUUACAAACUCGACGACUUGAGAUGCAUUCAUGUUUUUAAAAUUAUUGAUUAGAAAAAGUUCACAAUCGCACCGACUGCUCGACGGCUUUCAACCGUUCCGUCCAUCUCAUUACAAAGCCUGAAUGUGACGCCCUUUAAUAUGAAAGAUUCUACGUCUGUUCAUCGAUUGCUCUUUGAAUAUAUGUUAAAAAACUAACAUGAUGAACAGAUGUCAAUUAAAGUUAAUUAGCCUCAAAUGCUUACAAAAAAAAAAA